UACGUAGGGGGCAAGCGUUUGUCCGGAAUUAUUGGGCGUAAAGAGCUCGUAGGCGGUUUGUCGCGUCUGCUGUGAAAACCCGAGGCUCAACCUCGGGCCUGCAGUGGGUACGGGCAGACUAGAGUGCGGUAGGGGGAGAUUGGAAUUCCUGGUGUACGGUGGAAUGCGCAGAUAUCAGGAGGAACACCAAUGGCGAAGGCAGAUCUCUGGGCCGUAACUGACGCUGAGGAGCGAAAGCAUGGGGAGC
rnacentral:rRNA from 1 species